GAGGGAAAGAUGAAAAAGCACUUUGGAAAGAGAGUUAAACAGUAUGUGAAAUUGUUGAAAGGGAAACGAUUGAAGUCAGUCGUGUCCAUUGGACUCAGCCGGUUCCGCCGGUGUACUUCCUUUGGAUGGGUCAACAUCAGUUCUGACCGGUGGAAAAGGGCGGGAGGACAACGUGACACCCUCGGGUGUGGUAUAGCCUCUUGUCACAAUAGCAUCGGYCGGGACUGAGGAACGCAGCUCGCCCUUCGGGGCCGGGGGUYCGCCCCACGUCCGAGCUUAGGAUGUUGGCAUAAUGGCUUUAAACGACCCGUCUUGAAACACGGACCAAGGAGUCUAACAUAUGUGCGAGUGUUUGGGUGUCAAACCCGUACGCGUAAUGAAAGUGAUCAUGGAGGGAUCCGCAAGGAGCACCUUUGACCGAUCCAGAGCCUMGGUGACGGAUUUGAGUAAGAGCAUAUAUGCUGGGACCCGAAAGAUGGUGAACUAUGCUUGAAUAGGACGAAGCCAGGGGAAACUCUGGUGGAGGUCCGUAGCGAUUCUGACGUGCAAAUCGAUCGUCAAAUUUGGGUAUAGGGGCGAAAGACUAAUCG
rnacentral:rRNA from 1 species